rnacentral:tRNA from 1 species
AAGUUGGCAGGCGGUGAAUUUGUUUACACCGAAUGGGUCGGGGGUUCGAGCCCCUCACCGCCCACCA